UCCCUGGUGGUCCAGUGGUUAAGACUCUGAGCUUCCACUGCAGGGGGCCUAGGUUCAAUCCCUGGACAGGGAA
rfam:Ovis aries breed Texel chromosome 3, whole genome shotgun sequence.